CUGGAAAACAUUCCCAGAUGUGUCCGGGCUACGCUAUGUGCAAGUGAAAUAUCUACAGAACUGGUGCCAGAUGCUGAAAGCACAUAUUGAUUGUGGCUUGCGCGUUUGAUACUUGACGAGGAUGUUGUGAGCAGGUGCUCCCUGACAUUUGUUGCUGGACAAACAGAGCCGGUGAUGGGGGAGAACUGGAGACCUGUCGGUCAUCACUGUCAGUCUAUUGAGGUUUCUUUCCUGGCAUGCAAGAGUUGUCUCCCUGUCAGCUUCAUCACACCAGGAGACAUGACCAUCUGAGACAAACUACUGACAGAAAUUGAUCCUCUACAGGAGACACACAGCAAGUCAAGAUGUGCCACCUUUUCCUUCAAUCCCAUUCACAAGGAGCACACAUCAAGUCUACAUCUACCACCUCUUGCUACAACACUAUUUGGAAGGCGCACAUAGCGCUGCCUCUUGUUAUGUGGCAAUGGUAUUCCGAUGCUUCCAGCCAUCUUGUAGGGAUGAAUCCAUGCAAGGCACAUCAGUGCCCGCUCUGCCACCUGAUCCAGCAGCCCCCCUCCACCCUUCCUCCAUACAGGCAACCAGGGACAUUCUCCACAAUACUAUGUCACAGUGGCUUUGUCAAGUAAAUUGGACGUCCUUUCAAGUCAAAUGGAAUUUCUAGGAGCAGAGCGAGUCUAGCAGUCAGCAGAUGCUUAAUGUCCACCUAUGUUUAUGACAGAGACAAGAUGGCUGACACCAAGGGGUGGUGGGUAGUCUGGGAGUGAAAAUGGUCUCUCAUCCCACAGAACAUCUCCAUGUGGGUAUUAAUUGGGAAAUCAUGUCUUAGUGAACGCUGUAGCAAUAUUGAUGGAAAAAAAUAAUCACUCACUCACUCACACAUCCACAUCAUUUCCUGGUGUACCUGAUUGUGAUAAUGUUGGGAUAUUGCUGAGCAUGAUGUAAAAAUUCACUCACUCACAUACUGCUGAGGGCCACUCACCUAAAAUUUUAACUUCAAAGGAGACAAGAUCAAGUCUAUAUUUCAGGUCUGAAACACGUGGCCACACAUGGUCACAAGUUCACCCAUACCACCAGUCCAAGAAAUUCUAACACAUGCUGCUGUAACAAGAACACAUCUUUAUCCCUAGGACAAUUCCCAACAAAGGAGCCCACAGCAUAUCCACCUAUGCUGCUGUUACAAAAACAGUUCUUCAUCCCCACAACAAUUCCCAGAAGCCCCAGCAUGUCUACCCUCGUUGCCAUGUGGCAGUGAUAAGCCUCCAUCAUCUCCCUGUCUGAGCACAAGGCCACUUCGGUCUUUGCAUCAGGAGUAUGUAGGUCGUUACAGACCGGUGCAGUGUGGCGCCCCCCCUACAAUCAGCUGGCCGGCCCCCACCUAGCGG